AGUCAGAUGGCCCAAGGCGCUGCGUCGAUGAAAUUGGAUAUUUAAGGCAGUGCAGAAAGCUGUUCACGUUCACUCUCAGCGGGCGCGCGGCCAGAGAGUCAAGAGGGUGUAGACGCGCGCUCUGUAACUGACUGACAAAUAAUAUGAGACUUACUGUGUUGUGAACAAGGCUUCAUAUAACGUGACCGGGAAGAGAACAAGGCACGAACUCGAGUCCUCGUUCUACGCGGAGGCUUUUUUUGAGGAGUACGGUGGAUGACCGCGAGCGCUCCCUUCAGCGCGCGUUACCAAUGCGUCAGAAGAGCGCGUGUCUCUGAACUCGCAGCUGCAGCUCCCUCAGCAAACCAUGAAGAUAAAUCCAUUUCAUUGAGGCACUGAUAAAAAGCAAUUCAGGUGCCAUAAUUCACUCUCAGAUCAACAGAAGAACCAUCUCUAUAUAUCUAUAUAUCAACAUAUAUUUUUUGCAUUAGAUAAAUAGAGUAUUAGUUUUUUUUAUUUAAGAAUCCCUUUUCCUCUGCAAUGUUAGACUGCAUUCCACAGAACGCACCCGGAUUCUGUCAGGGCUGUAUUAUCUGAUCGGGUUCAGACUGAAUUUCACCAUUUUGUCAGCAUGUAAGUUUUUCCUGCCAGCUCUUCUUUCAGUUCACCUUGCUGGGUCGUCCUUGGACUGAAUGCUAAAGCAUCAUGUAGUGCGUCUCCCUGCAGUUUCAGAAGUAGGUUGGACCCAUUUUCACACUAGGAGCUGUUAGAAUUCACUGAUUGCAAUCUUUCACCUUAAUGGGAGAGAGAUAUAUGGAUGCUGUAGUAUGGAAUAUAAAAACGAGAGAAUUAAAAGGAUAGUUCACCCAAAAAUGAAUGGUCCGUUAUUACUUAAUUACUUACCUACUUAUUAAACCCAUCAAAGCUUUGUUGCCACGUGCAAAGAAUACAGAAUAU